AAGCGGGGAGAGAAAAGACCUGCACAGGUUGGAGGAGGCGAUGGUGGUGUGAGGGACUCGGUCGGGACUCGAGGGGAGUUGAUGGGCAACAGUGCAAGUCAGCGUCAUGAAUAUGAAAGUCAUGAUUUGGGGGCAAACUGAAACUCAGGACAGCAAACAGAUAACAGAUUACCUGUACAGAAAUCAAUAAGCAAAAAGAUAUUAGAGGAGUCGAUUUGAUGGAUUUCUCCAAACCACCAUGAUUACUGGUAUGGUAGAAGGCACUAUUCAA